AAUAACAAAUAAAAUAAAAUAAAAAGAUAACCAAGUUGGGCCAAGGCCCAAGUGUAAAGGGGGCGAAAUAUUUAGCAGAAAUAGGGGUGCAAAAGAGAUCUUUUGAUUGGUUGCCAAAAUGGUUUGAGCCCAAAAAGAAGGGAGCUGCGGAUGGAAGCAAAGGGUUUUUGUUUAUUUAUUUUUUUUUAAGAGAGCUGGAUCAGAAAUUUGGCCCAAGGGCUUUUCGUUCGCAGAUCAGGAAACCCUUAGGGGGGUUCAUCCAUUCCUCACUUCAUUCUAUCAUCCAAGAAUUUUGCACACAAAAACCUAGCCCCCCAUAUCCUCUGAACGAAAAAGAAACCAGAAGCCACUCCCACAGCCUAUGCUUUGUCUCAAACGGCCACCGCAAAGAGGCCCUCCACCUGGUCCGUGACGUCACCGGCGAUUCCUCCCCGAAGCCACCACCGGCGACAGCGCUCCCCCUCUCCUCCCGUGUUCGCGCUAGGCUGGGGUUGGGGUUUCUCCCCUUGACGUUGUUCGCCGCCGUCUCUCUGCCACCGCCGUUGCGAAGCUCCGUUCAAGCCGCCUGCGGCUCCAACUCCGGGACGUCACUCUCACCAUGACCGACGGGACCAAAGACCUCAAUUCACGAGCCAGAACCUCGGCCGGCCACUGCGUCGCCAAUCGGCACCUUACCGCCGGCCACCAAAGCCACUGCAAGUUGAAACGAAAACGCCCUGUUCCGCAGCAUGGCCUCAACAGUAUCACUCUCACCAUAUCCCAACACAGGUUUGAAUUCAGGCUUGGGGAAGAAUCAAUGGAAGUCGCAUGGUACCCGCAGGGCUCGAGACUAGAUUAGGCUAUGGAUUUAAAUAUGGGAAAAGAUUGAGAUUGAAGUUUGAUUAAAGAAUGGUGAGAUGAUGGUCGAAGGAUAGUGUUGAAGAGGAUUUUUGAUCUGUAUUGUUUCCCUUUGCAGGUUUGAGUGAAGAACAACGAUGAUGGUGUGAUGGGCACGGUUUGGUGGUGGUAUUGUUCUGUGUGUGUGUUUAGCAUUGGGUGAGUAACAGUUGUUCUCUGCCUUUUUCCUCUUUGCUUAAGACUCUGUAUGGUGGUUUCUGGGUUCUAUGAGGAUGGUGGUGCUAAGGAAACAGAUUUGCAAUGGCCGAGAGAACGGUAUGGAAUUGGUGGAGAUGGUACCGUAAACAACUCAGGGAGAUUAGCUUCCCUUUCUUUCUUUGCAGCUGAGAAGAAUCAAGGUUUUGGGGAGAAAUGGUUUAGCCAUUUCAGCUUUGGUAAUGGGGACGGGAGAAUGAAGAGAAUGAAAGUUGUUUUGUGCGUUGUAAUGUAUGAAGGUGAGUGGGGGUUGUUUGGCUAUGCGAGAGCUGUUAUGGAGGUUGCUUUUUCUUGCAGAGAAGAGGAAUUGGGGUUUAUGCGUGAGGGGUUUUCAUGGUAUAAGCGAAGAUUGAGGGAGGAUAAUGGGAUUUUUGUAUCUGUUUGCAGGUUUGGGUUAUGCAAGGAGAGUACUGGUUUCUAACCGUUAAAGGGAGCGCGUUUAUGUUGUUAAGAUGAAUGAGUGGUAAACAGUAAGCAAAUCAUGUAUAUCAAGUGUCAAACAGAAUGGAUAGGGGAAGAUGACCAAGGUAUGCAUACAACGAACGCCGAGAAUGUUCAAUGACAACCAUACAUAAGCAGCAAAGUACGAAAGUAUUCAGAACAUUUAACAACCACCAUACAUAAGCGUAUUAUUAAGCCAGAGAGUACAAAGGCAUUUUAACAGAUUGUAAAAGUUUAAUCAUUUACCUUUUGGGCUCCUUUACUAUGAUUGUUAUGAUGAGGACGAAUGAAUGAAGCUGGUGAUGGAGGUCUGAGAGUCAAGAGCCCUCUCCUAAGCUACGAUGGUUCUAUGUUGGCGGUGAGUCUCCCAUGCCCCCUGGCUGUGAUAGUGAGGUGAAUCCCUGUCCCUUGUCUUCUCUAAGGCGUGGUGGGUGAGUUCUUACUCUAUGGCCGUAGUCUUCUCUUUCCCCUAUCUUCCCUUCCUCCCUUCUCUGAGAUUGUAUUUUCUUUUUUUUGAAAUGUUAUUGCCGGAUUUUUUUGGAAAAUUAUGGUGCGAGGGAGUCAUAGAAGUUAUUCUCCCCGGAAUUGAUAUUUGAGAGCCUCUUUCUGUCGAGUCAGUCGAGAGUGAAUAGGAGCUGAGAGUAGUCUUUCCCUUUUCACAUGCCUAGGUCCAGCCCCUGUUACGCUACCAUCCAACCACUAAGGACUGAGAAUCAGAAGCCCCCUAGCAAAACCACUGUCAAACGUCAUUCUUCUUUAAUGUGUAAUUGGUGGCAAAAACCAUGGUGCACAGGUUUUCUUUCCAGAAAACGGAAAGAAGUUGACUUGUGGAGGCGUCUGUUGUUCUGUGUUGCAGGAGGUGUUGCACGAAAGCUUAAUUCAUGUUUGCGCAACUGAGAGUGGAAAGAAAGCAAUAGUCUGCCAUA